rnacentral:rRNA from 1 species
UAGUAGGUGUGGUAAUGGCGCACCUAGGCGACGAUCAGUAACUGGUCUGAGAGGAUGACCAGUCACACUGGGACUGAGACACGGGCCAGACUCCUACGGGAGGCAGCAGUGGGGAAUUUUCCGCAAUGGGCGAAAGGCUGACGGAGCUAUACCGCGUGAGGGACGAAGGCUUAUGGGUCGUAAACCUCUUUUCCCUGAGAAGAAGAUCUGACGGUAUCAGGGGAAUCAGCAUCGGCUAACUUCGUGCCAUCAGCCGCGGGUAAAUACGAGGGAUGCAAGCGUUAUCCGGAAUUAUUGGGCGUGAAGCGUCCGCAGGUGGCUCUGUAAGUCUG